rnacentral:rRNA from 1 species
UGGGGAAUAUUGCACAAUGGGGGAAACCCUGAUGCAGCGACGCCGCGUGAAGGAAGAAGUAUCUCGGUAUGUAAACUUCUAUCAGCAGGGAAGAUAGUGACGGUACCUGACUAAGAAGCCCCGGCUAACUACGUGCCAGU